CAGCCACAUAUAUUUAUUCAUAUGUCUGCCCUAUUCCCUUAUGCAGUGUAUGGGAGGGUGUCUGUUCUAUGCAUGAAAUGGAACGUGCCUCACCUUGCUGCGCUGCAUUGGAUGAAUCACUUCAAUAUCAGAAGUGAACUGGGCUGGGAGAAAAUUGCUUGAGGAAAUUGGAGCAAUAAGAUUAACAGUCCAAGGGGCAAACAAAAGGAGAGAAGAAAUGGUUGGCUUUGGUGCAUCUGGAAUUCAACUGAGCAAAGAAUUAAAACAGAAUUCAACAGUGAAAUUUCUGCAGGGACGAGUAAAGGGCCUGGUGCAGGUUAGGAAGACUAGUGUGUGAGAGAAAGAACAUGAAAAUACAUAU